GCAGAUCCAUAGGACAGAGUGGAGGGCAGAUCCAUAAGGCAGAGUGGAGGGCAGAUCCAUAGGGCAGAGUGGAGGGCAGAAGUGGAGGGCAGAGUGGAGGGCAGAUCCAUAGGGCAGAUCCAUAGGGCAGAGUGGAGAGCAGAUCCAUAGGACAGAGUGGAGGGCAGAUCCAUAGGGCAGAGUGGAGGGCAGAUCCACAGGGCAGAGUGGAGGGCAGAUCCACAGGGCAGAGUGGAGGGCAGAUCCAUAGGGCAGAAUGGAGGGCAGAUCCAUAGGGCAGAGUGGAGGGCAGAAUGGAGGGCAGAUCCAAGGGGCAGAGUGGAGGGCAGAGUGGAGGGCAGAUCCAUAGGGCAGAGUGGAGGGCAGAUCCAUAGGGCAGAGUGGAGGGCAGAUGGAGGGCAGAGUGGAGGGCAGAUCCAUAGGGCAGAGUGGAGGGCAGAGUGGAGGGCAGAUCCAAAGGGUAGAGUGGAGGGCUGAUCCAUAGGGCAGAUCCAUAGGGCAGAGUGGAGGGCAGAUCCAUAGGGCAGAGUGGAGGGCAGAUGGAUAGGGCAGAGUGGAGG
ensembl:lncRNA